GGAAGGUUUAAAGUGAUUAACUGUAGGAACUUUAAAGGUGCUUUUUUGUUUUGAAAGUGGUUAUUUUUGGUUAGGUGGUAGAUUGAAAAUGGUUAUGUGUAGGGACUUUAAAGGCUUUUUUUUGUUUUGAAAGUGGUUAUGUUUGGUAGCUUUAUAGGUAGAAAAUGGAUAAGUGAAGGGACUUUAAAGGUGCUUUUUUGUUUUGAAAAUGGUUAUGUUUGGUGAGGUGGU
rnacentral:lncRNA from 1 species